GAAGGGAAGGGCCCUCCCGCUGAGGAGCUGGUCUCCUGAGCCUUGGGAGGUGUGGCUCAGCGCGGCCUGGUCUUUCCCAGGAAUCGUGAGGAAGGCCACACUUGCUGGCCAGCACUGUCUGGAGUGUUCACGAGGCUUUCGCCGUGGCCUAGGCCUCGGCACUCAGAUGUGCUUCAGCCCCCGGGCUCCCUGAUGCACUUUUCCCUCAGGCCAAGGAGAAGAUGAAAGAGGAAUCAUGGCACAUCCAUUUCUUCGAGUAUGGGCGUGGCGUGUGCAUGUACCGCACAGCCAAGACACGGGCACUGGUCCUGAAGGGCAUCCCUGAGAGCCUCCGGGGAGAGCUGUGGCUCCUCUUCUCCGGGGCCUGGAAUGAGAUGGUGACUCACCCCGGGUACUAUGCUGAGCUGGUGGAGAAGUCCACUGGGAAGUACAGCCUGGCCACAGAGGAGAUUGAGCGAGACCUGCACCGCUCCAUGCCCGAGCACCCUGCCUUCCAGAACGAGCUCGGGAUUGCUGCCCUCCGGCGGGUGCUGACUGCCUAUGCCUUCCGAAACCCCACCAUCGGCUACUGCCAGGCAAUGAACAUCGUGACCUCGGUGCUCCUGCUCUACGGCAGUGAGGAGGAGGCCUUCUGGCUCCUGGUGGCCCUGUGCGAGCGCAUGCUGCCCGACUACUACAACACCAGGGUGGUGGGAGCCCUGGUGGACCAAGGCAUCUUCGAAGAGCUCACGAGAGACUUCCUGCCACAGCUCUCGGAGAAGAUGCAGGACCUGGGGGUGAUCUCCAGCAUCUCGCUGUCCUGGUUCCUGACCCUCUUCCUCAGCGUCAUGCCCUUCGAGAGUGCCGUGGUCAUCGUCGACUGCUUUUUCUACGAGGGCAUCAAGGUGAUCCUGCAGGUGGCCCUGGCAGUCCUGGACGCCAACAUGGAGCAGCUGCUGGGCUGCAGCGACGAGG
rnacentral:sRNA from 1 species